rnacentral:sRNA from 12 species
GCUUGGCUUGUUUGAAUGUGUAGCGGGGUUGUGUUCCUCCGGGAAUGCGGCCCACUACGUUGCUCUGACAGACUUGCCCGGACCGAAAUCCUUCGGGAUGAAGGUCUGAGUCAGAAGCUUGAGCCCCUUUGAGCUCAAGUGGAACGCAGUUGCCUAAAAGGUAUUGAUUGCUUACUGAGACAUCAGCACGGCGGAAACCGCAAAUUGGCCGGAAACGGCCAGCCGGACGAAAUCCUCUGAAAGGAGAACAAAAGCCGGGGUUCCCGUCGGGAUAGCCACGCGCCCAAGACGACGGUCGUGAAAACUAUCUGAAACAGUGGCGAUGCGGCAAAAACUGCAGCGCUGCAAAGUAAACGAAUGGCAAUCUGAGGGUUAAGAGGCGAGACCCGUGGGGCAGGCGAACGCAUCGUCACAAGCGAUGGCUGACCUGCUUCCAAAGGGCUAGGAUGCGAACGGAUUACUUGCGUGUCCAGUCUGGUCCGCAUGUCAGUGGCCGCAACCACUGGCUGAGCGGGCAAAUAAACCUCACCCAAUAAUCCAUGUGCCGCAAGGCCUUGGACGGCCCUGCUAUGAGGCCGACAACUUCGAAAGUCACGGAGAAUAGCGUCGGGGAGCAACCGACCCACACUGUGGGUGCCAAACGGUUGCAACGGGAAAGAGCGCGUGGCGACCGCC